CAGCAGCCACGGUAAUACGUAGGUGGCAAGCGUUGUCCGGAAUUACUGGGCGUAAAGGGAGCGUAGGCGGGUCGUUUAGUCAGAGGUGAAAUCCCGGGGCUCAACCUCGGAACUGCCUUUGAUACUGGCGACCUUGAGUAUGGGAGAGGUGAGUGGAACUCCGAGUGUAGAGGUGAAAUUCGUAGAGAUGUGGAGGAACACCAGUGGCGAAGGCGACUCUCUGGUCUGUAACUGACGCUGAGGAGCGAAAGCGUGGGGAGCGAACAGGAUUAGAUACCCGAGUAGUCCCUGUCUCUUAUAC
rnacentral:rRNA from 1 species